rnacentral:lncRNA from 1 species
UCUAAAUGCAAUGAACAACUUAGGGUUGUGGAUGAUAUGAACAGUCAUUCUUGUCAUCCAUAGCUCUGAGUUGUUCAUAGCAUCUAGGGCGUUGAGUUUAAGGCCCCGAGUCGUUCAUGUUAUCCAUAGCCCUAAGCUGUUCAUAGCAGCUAGAGCCUUAAGCUCCCAACCUUGAGUCAUUCAUAUCAUCCACACCUCUGAGUUGUUCAUAGAAUUUAGAGCCUUGAGCUACAACCCAAAGUUGUUGAUGUCAUUCACAACCCUUAGCUAUUCAUAGCAUCUAAGGCCCCUGAGCUCACACCCUAGAAUAGUUCAUAUAAUCCACAACCCUGAGCUGCUCAAAGCAUCUACUGGCCCAAGCUCAGAAGAACUCGAGUCAUUGAUAUCAUUCAUAACCUUGAGCUAUUCAUAGCAUUUGAGCCUUGAGGUCAUGAUCUAGAUUCGUUCAUGUCAUCCACAAUCCUUAGUUGUUCAUAGCAUCUAAAGCCUUAAGCUCACAACCUGAAGUCAUUCAUGUCAUCCACAACCCUAAGCUCUUCAUAGCAUCUUAAGGCUUGAGCUGAUGACCUUGAAUCGUCCAUAUCAUCCAUAGCCCUAAGUUGUUGACAACAUCUAGUUCCUUGAGCUCACGGGACCCCGAGUCAUUCAUAUCAUCCACAACACUAAGUUGUUCAUUGCAUUUAGAGCCUUGAGCCCAUGACCCAAAGUCGUUCAUGUCAUCCAUAGCCCUGAGCUCUUCAAAGCAUCUAGAGCCCUGAGCAUACGAACCUGAGUCGUUCAUAUCAUCAAGAACCCUAAGUUCUUCAUAACAUUUAGAGCCUUAAGCUCAUGACCUAGAACCAUUCAUAUCAUCCACAAUCCUGAGGUGUCCAUGACAUCUAGAGCCCUAAGCACACAAGACCCUGAGUCGUUCAUGUCAUCCACAUUCUGGAGCUAUUGAUAGCAUUUAAAGCCUUGAGUUCAUGACCCGGAGUCAUUCAUGUCAUCCACAACCCAGAGUUGUUCAUAGAUUUUAAAGCCUUAAGCUCAUGACCUAGAGUUGUUCAUGUCAUCCAAAGCUCCAAACUCUUCGUUGCAUCUAGAGUGUAGAGCUUGCAACUUGGUGUCGUUCAUGUCAUACACUGCCCUGAGAUGUACAUAGCAUCCAAAAUCCUGAGCACAUGACCCCAAGUUGUUCAUAUCAUCCACAGCUUAAGCUGUUUAGAGAAUUUGGAGCCUUGAGCUCGUGACCCAAAGCUAUUCACGUCAUCCACAACCCUGAUUUGUUCAAAGCAUCUAAAGCCUUGAGCUCACGACCUAGAAUCAUGCAUAAAAUCCAUAACCCUGCUCUAUUCACUACAUCCAGUUCCCUUAACUCACGGGGCCUCGAGUUGUUCAUGUCAUCCACAGCCCUAAGUUGUUCAUUGCAUUUAGAGCCCUGAGCCCAUGACUUAGAUCCAUUCAUGUGAUCCACAGUCCUAAGCUGUUCAUAGCAUCUAGAGCCUUAAGCUCAUGACCCCAAGUCGCUCAUGUCAUCCAUAGCCUAGAGUUGUUCAUAGAAUCUAAAGCAUUGUGCACACAACCCUGAGUCAUUCAUAUCAUCCACAACCCAAACUGUUCAUAGCAUUUAGAGCCUUGAGCUCACAACCCAAAGUAUUUCAGAUCAUCCAUUGCUUGAGUCGUUCAUAGUUUUUAGAGUGUUGAGCUCACGACCCGAAGUCAUUCAUGUCAUCAAUAACCCUGAGUUGUUCAUAACAUCUAGAGCCUUGAGUACACGACCAUGAGUCUUUCAUGCUCUCAAUUCAUGAAUCGGAGUCGUUGAUGUCAUCCACAACCCUAACUGUUCUUAGCAUUUAGAGUCGUAAGCUCACAACCCAGAGUCAUUCAUGUCAUCCACAACCCUAAGUUGUUUGUAACAUCUAGAGCCUUGAACACAAGACCCCAAGUUGUUCAUAUCAUCCACAACCCUGAACUCUUCAUAGCAUCUAAAGCCUUGAGCUUAUGACCAAGAACCUUUCAUAACAUCCACAACGUUGAGGUGUCCACGACAUCUAAAGCCCUAAUCACAUAAGACCCUGAGUCAUUCCUGUCAUCCAUAGUCGAGAGUUGUUCAUAGCAUUUAAAGCCUUGAGUUAAUGACCCGAAGUCAUUCAUGUCAUCCACAACCCCGAGCUGUUCAUAGCAUCUAGAGCCUUGAGCUCACGACCCAGAGUCGUUCAUGUCAUACAUUGCCCGGACUCAAGGUUAUGAACUCAAGGCUCUAGAUGCUAUGAACAACUCAAGGCUAUGGGUCAUAUGAACGACUCUGGGUCUAAGCUCAAGGCUCUAAAUGUAAUGAACAACUUAGGGUUGUGAAUGAUAUGAACAACUAUGGGUCGUAAGCUCAUGGUUCUAGAUGAUAUGAAUAACUAACGAUUGUGGAUGAUACAAAUAACUCCGAUUCAUGAGCUCAAUGUUAUGGAUUAUAUGAACAACUUGGGGUCGUGAGCUUAAGACUCUAGAUACUAUGAACAACUUAGGCUUGUGGAUGACAUGAACGACUGUAGGUCAUGAGCUGAGCGCUCUAAAGGCAAUGAAUGACAUAGGGUUGUGCAUGAUAUGAACAACUCGGGGUCCCAUGAGCUCAAUGCAUUGGAUGUUAUGAACAACUUAGGGCAAUGGAUGAUAUGGACCAUUUUGGGUCGUAAGCUCAAGGCUCUAGAUGCUAUGAACAGCUCAGGGUUAUGGAUGACAUGAAUGACUCUAGGUCAUGAGUUGAGCGCUCUAAAUGCAAUGAACAACUUAGGGUUGUGAAUGAUAUGAAUAACUCGAGGUCUCGUGAGCUUAAGGCACUAGAUGCUAUGAACAACUCAGGGUCUCGUGAGCUCAAGGCACUAGAUGCUAUGAACAACUCAGGGCAGUGGAUGAUAUGGACGAUUCUAGGUCGUAAGCUCAAGGCUCUGGGUGCUAUGAACAACUUAGGGUUGUUGAUGACAUGAACUACUCUUGGUUGUGAGCUCAAGGCUCUAAAUGCUAUGAACAACUUAGGUUGUGGAUGAUAUGAAUGACUCAAGGUCGUAUGUUGAGGACUCUAGAUGCUAUGAACAACCUAGGGCAUUGUAUGACAUGAACUACACAUACACAUUCAUAUUGGUAGAAAAUCAACCAAAGCCCUAUGACACAAAACCUUAAGUAUCAAAACUUAAAAACCCUUGAGAACAUGAAUCCUUAAUCGAUCAAAUUUACAGUGAACAUCAACUACAAUCCUAAAAGACAAACUCAACCAAAUGAAAAUUGAGAAAUCUAACACACACACAAAAGGAGAGAUUAGAUAAGGAAGUAAACAAAGAGUGAAGACCUUAGAAGUAGAUAUUUUACGAGAGAAGCAUCGUGGCCGAGAAAAACCCAUCUCUCUCUUGAAAAGCUCUGUAAAUUCAUCUCCAAAUCCCUUACAGCGAGACUCCAUGGCAGUAGUUAUAGAGUUGACUAGAGGUUGGAGCUGCACACAGAAUCAAAGGCUUGAAGAGCAUGUGCCAAGCUCAAUACACAGAGAGCAUGAGAAUUGGAAUUUUAAGAAAAGAGUGAUUCAUGCAUACGUGUCGAUUACAAGUAUAACAAUGGACUUCUGUUCUUUAUUCACUCAUUUUCUCUAAAAUUGUCUUCUAAAAAAAAUAAUAAUGAAAAUGUUAAUGGACAUAUUAAUAAUAUAUUGCGAAAUAACUGGAAAACAUGUCAUUUUAGAAAUAUUUAAAAUUUUAAUUUAAUUAAUUUUUUAGUUUUUCCAUCAAACAUCCAACAUAAAAAAAUUAUUUAUUUCUUCUCAUUUCUAACCCUCUUCUUAGGUACUUUUCAAGAAAUAAG